rnacentral:rRNA from 1 species
AGAGUUUGAUCCUGGCUCAGGAUGAACGCUAGCUACAGGCUUAACACAUGCAAGUCGAGGGGCAGCGCGGCGGAAGCUUGCUUCCGCUGGCGGCGACCGGCGCACGGGUGCGUAACGCGUAUCCAACUUGCCCUUGUCCCGGGGAUAGCCUCGCGAAAGCGAGAAUAAUACCCGGUGUAGCCACGGUUCCGCAUGGAAUUGUGGCGAUAGGUCCGCCGGACAAGGAUAGGGAUGCGUCCCAUUAGGCAGUAGGCGGGGUAACGGCCCACCUAACCGACGAUGGGUAGGGGUUCUGAGAGGAAGGUCCCCCACAUUGGAACUGAGACACGGUCCAAACUCCUACGGGAGGCAGCAGUGAGGAAUAUUGGUCAAUGGGCGCGAGCCUGAACCAGCCGAGUAGCGUGCAGGAAGACGGCCCUAUGGGUUGUAAACUGCUUUUGCAGGAGGAUAAUAUGUCCCACGUGUGGGAUAUUGCAGGUAUCCUGCGAAUAAGACCGGCUAAUUCCGUGCCAGCAGCCGCGGU